rnacentral:rRNA from 1 species
UACGGAGGGAGCUAGCGUUGUUCGGAUUUACUGGGCGUAAAGCGCACGUAGGCGGCUCAGCAAGUCAGGGGUGAAAUCCCGGGGCUCAACCCCGGAACUGCCCUUGAAACUGCUAAGCUAGAAUCUUGGAGAGGCGAGUGGAAUUCCGAGUGUAGAGGUGAAAUUCGUAGAUAUUCGGAAGAACACCAGUGGCGAAGGCGACUCGCUGGACAAGUAUUGACGCUGAGGUGCGAAAGCGUGGGGAGCAAACAGG